rnacentral:rRNA from 1 species
GGGUCUUGUACACACCGCCCGUCACACCAUGGGAGUCGGAAAUGCCCGAAGUCUGUGACCCAACCUCAGGGAGGGAGCAGCCGAAGGCAGGUCGGAUGACUGGGGUGAAGUCGUAACAAGGUAUC